GCACGCAUGGCGGAAUUGGCAGACGCGCAUGGUUCAGGUCCAUGUCCUGUAACAGGGGUGAGGGUUCAAGUCCCUCUGUGUGCACGA
rnacentral:tRNA from 1 species